UCGACGCCGCGUGCGGGAUGAAGGCCUUCGGGUUGUAAACCGCUUUCAGUAGGGAAGAAGCGAAAGUGACGGUACCUACAAAAGAAGCACCGGCUAACUAUGUGCCAGCAGCCGCGGUAAUACAUAGGGUGCAAGCGUUGUCCGGAAUUAUUGGGCGUAAAGAGCUCGUAGGUUGUUCGUUACGUCGGAUGUGAAAAUCUGAGGCUUAACCUCAGACCUGCAUUCGAUGCGGGCGAACUAGAGUGUGGUAGGGGAGACUGGAAUUCCUGGUGUAGCGGUGGAAUGCGCAGAUAUCAGGAGGAACACCAAUGGCGAAGGCAGGUCUCUGGGCCAUUACUGACACUGAGGAGCGAAAGUCUGGGGAGCGUACAGGAUUAGAUACCCUGGUAGUCCAGACCGUAAACGGUGGGCGCUAGUUGUGGGAACCUUCCACGGUUUCUGCGACGCAGCUAACGCAUUAAGCGCCCCGCCUGGGGAGUACGAUCGCAAGAUUAAAACUCAAAGGAAUUGACGGGGCCCCGCACAAGCAGCGGAGCAUGCGGCUUAAUUCGACGCAACGCGAAGAACCUUACCAAGGCUUGACAUAUAGAGAAAAGCAAUAGAGAUAUUGUGUCCGCAAGGGCUUUAUACCGGUGGUGCAUGGUUGUCGUCAGCUCGUGUCGUGAGAUGUUGGGGUAAGUCCCCGGAAGAAGCGCAACCCUCGCUUCUGUGUUGCCAGCAUUUA
rnacentral:rRNA from 1 species